GCCCUAGUAGCUUACCCCAACAAAGCAUUGACCUUGUAAAUCAAAGAUGGACGCACACGCCCCUAGAGCA
rnacentral:tRNA from 1 species